CAAGUGCACAACCUUUCUGUUGCUGAUGAAAAUCGCAGAAAUGUGGGAAAGAAACGUAAAACAAAACUAAAAGAAUGGAAAGACAGGCAAAGGAAGAUCUUACGGGAUGCGGGAAAACCCUAUACAAAUCGUAAGGGUCAAGAAAAAACUGGGAAAAGCUGUCCAAAAGAGGGAAGAGCGUGUUCCACGACGUGCAGAAAGGAUUGUGGAAAGUUGACUGAUGAACGCAAGCUGCAUCUGUUCAACAGGUUCUACACUGUCCCAUACGAGAAACAACAAGAGUUGAUUCUCUCCGGCUUAGAACAGGUUAGAAAUAAGACAAAACGCCUAUUAUUAUAAUAGCUAUAUUGAACACUUGCAUAGUUUAACUUUGACAGUAAUGAUACGUACAUUAACGUUAACUCUAAAAGUGCUGUGUUACACAAUGGUGCAAUACAAACUCAUUCUGUGUAUAGAUUGGGAGUGUUUUGUAGUUCUAUGGUAUGUUCACAUUGAGGGCUUCAUUUUAAAUGAGACUAAGAUUUCAUGACUCAACUUUUAAGAAAAGUCAUCAGUGCUAAAGUUGAUAGACCACCUUUAAAUGAACCUCCAUACAAAUGAAUUAACUACAUAUUGCAUUUAAGUUAUUUACAUGAAGGGCAUCUGUACUUGAAAGUACUUAAAACAUCCUAUCAGGUGUUAAAAAAGGACAUCUUACAAGAGUCAUGCAAAAUGUCACAUAUACUGUUCUUCCACAAACUGAAAUCAUCACUGGAGAUAUACUGUUCUUCCACA